AUUGAACGCUGGCGGAAUGCUUUACACAUGCAGGUCGAACGGCAGCACGGACUUCGGUCUGGUGGCGAGUGGCGAACGGGUGAGUAAUACAUCGGAACGUGCCCAGUCGUGGGGGAUAACGUAGCGAAAGCUACGCUAAUACCGCAUACGCUCUAAGGAUGAAAGCGGGGGAUCGCAAGACCUCGCGCGAUUGGAGCGGCCGAUGGCAGAUUAGGUAGUUGGGGGGGUAGAGGCUCACCAAGCCGACGAUCUGUAGCUGGUCUGAGAGGACGACCAGCCACACUGGGACUGAGACACGGCCCAGACUCCUACGGGAGGCAGCAGUGGGGAAUUUUGGACAAUGGGCGAAAGCCUGAUCCAGCCAUUCCGCGUGCAGGAUGAAGGCCCUCGGGUUGUAAACUGCUUUUGUACGGAACGAAAAGGCUCUGGUUAAUACCUGGGGCUCAUGACGGUACCGUAAGAAUAAGCACCGGCUAACUACGUGCCAGCAGCCGCAGUAA
rnacentral:rRNA from 1 species